AAACGAGUAACAAGUCAUGAAAGAUAAGAAACAGAAGCAUUGGCUUUGGCCUCUAAAAAGUGGCGAACAAUGUCAUCGGAUUAGAAGAGGUCGGUUAUGAACAGAGGGAAAAGGAAUUUGGAAUAGACAUGUGGACCAAUGGCAAUAAGCACCCACUAUAGGUUCUUGCAAAAGAUUGUUUACAAGGAGCUUAUCCCAAUAGUUUAUUUACUGAACACGGAAUUAAAGACAGGUUAAAGUUAAGAUGAGGAAAGAUUCAUAUCCAUAUUUUCCAUUUCAGGAAACAAAAGUACUCAGGAAAAUCGACCUGAAUAGAAGCAUAGAUAAAAUGGAAGAAAGUGAGGAAAGGAGGAGUAUCAGAGAAGAAAGGAAAGAGAGAAGUGGAAGCGAAAGAAGAAAAGACUAUUUUCUUACCAAUUAAAAUAUGAAGCGAAGGCACUCUGCAAAAAAAUUCCAUGUCAAAUGAUCAUUCUUGAUUUGAGAUGGUGAAAAAUGUUAUUUUCCUCUGAUUUCUUAAUUUGAUCAAAGGGUCAUUCCUGAACUUUUUGUAAAACAUAUAAUUGUACGGCGUAAGCAUUUUAUUGUUAUACUCAUCAAUAAAUAUUUUUUAUUGAUGCUCUUAAUAUAUGUGACACUAUAAUUAAUUAAUUGCCAAACACAAACAAGUUUGAAUGCACCAUCUUGUUUGUUGAGUUGAUCAUAAUGAAUAUAAUAAUAGUAACAACUACAAUUGUGAAGAUAUAUUUUUUUUAGUGGUGGGGCCCACUUACUUUAUUAUUUGUCUGAUUUUCUUUUUUUUUCUUUCUUUCCUUUCUUUUCUUUUCUUUUUCUUUCCUUUUUCUGUUUCGCCCAAGCACUUCUCCUUCUUCUUCUUCUUUGUCUUCUUCUUUUUCUUCUUUUGCUCUCUACAACAACCCACGUCGGGGUAUCACACAGUCGUUGCUGGAGUUCUCUUUUGCUGCCACGCGCCGGAGCUGGAGCACCAGUGGCCGGCGACAAACUCAUCCUCAAUACCUCAAGGCCAUCGGACUUAAGAUGCACACGAACGGAGCAGUCAAAGUUUCGUCGUCAAAACUUUGACUGCACUUUCCGGCGAACCCAGACCUACAUUCGGUGAAUGGGUGGUACCGUUGGAACCAGUGUGAAGGGAGGAACGUCGCCCACUAAUUCAUUUCAGUCAACUCACCAUUUUUCUCCGGUGAAAUUUUGGGUAUCUCCGCCCCUUUGGAGGCAGUUUCCGGCGACACCGGAGGUUAGUUGGGCAAAGAGGCUGUACUUCCGUGAUGUACUACUCGAGAGGAUCGUUUUGAUAUAUACCAUGCAUAUAUUCGUCAACGUUCCCGGUACUGCUAUCAACUGCUAGUGUGCACUGCUUGGGAAAAUCGUGAUAUAUAGAUCCAAUUUAAUUCACUCUAGGAUAAUCGUUAAGCUUAGGAGUGUCGCUUGGGGCUCGGACUGAAAAUUCUUAAGAGGUAGGGACUCAACUUGACUAUUGGACUUGUUGUACUCUUAUUGAAUUGCAUUAACAUUUUCCAAUUUUGAUAUUGAUAAAAUGUUUGAAAAAUGGAAAACUUAAUCUGCAUGUUUUCUGUUCUGUUCUGAGGGCACUGAGUGCCAAAUAUAUUAUUUUGUUAACUUAAUUAUGCAGGUUAUGAUUUUUGGGUUUUAUACAAAUGCAGCUGUUAUGCUGCCCAAUUUUCUAAAAUAAAAAGGGAAUAUGUUUCUUUCUUUUCAUGUUUACCUGCAUUUGGUUAUAUCGAUAAGAGCCAUAGUGAUCAUGAUUUGUGCAUGUUGUUGUUUCACGACCUAGUCUCU